rnacentral:rRNA from 1 species
AUUGAACGCUGGCGGCAGGCCUAACACAUGCAAGUCGAACGAGUGGCGGACGGGUGAGUAAUGUCUGGGAAACUGCCUGAUGGAGGGGGAUAACUACUGGAAACGGUAGCUAAUACCGCAUACCAUCGGAUGUGCCCAGAUGGGAGUAGAUAGUAGGUGGGGUAACGGCUCACCUAGGCGACGAUCCCGAGCUGGUCGGAGAGGAUGACCAGCCACACUGGAACUGAGACACGGUCCAGACUCCUACGGGAGGCAGCAGUGGUGAAUAUUGCACAAUGGGCGCAAGCCUGAUGCAGCCAUGCCGCGUGUAUGAAGAAGGCCUUCGGGUUGUAAAGUUCUUUCAGCGUGGAGGCGUUACCCUCAGAAGAAGCACCGGCUAACUCCGUGCCAGCAGCCGCGGUAAUAC